UGCGAUGACUGCCUGUUACAGUAAUGUAAUGAAUAUUAUUGAGCAAGCUCUCGUCGCAUC
rnacentral:pre_miRNA from 1 species